UACGGGGGGGGCAAGCGUUGUUCGGAAUUACUGGGCGUAAAGGGCUCGUAGGUGGCCAACUAAGUCAGACGUGAAAUCCCUCAGCUUAACUGGGGAACUGCGUCUGAUACUGGAUGGCUUGAGUUUGGGAGAGGGAUGCGGAAUUCCAGGUGUACCGGUGAAAUGCGUAGAUAUCUGGAGGAACACCGGUGGCGAAGGCGGCAUCCUGGACCAACACUGACACUGAGGAGCGAAAGCCAGGGGAGCAAACGGG
rnacentral:rRNA from 1 species